rnacentral:rRNA from 1 species
AACGCCCGGACACAUUCCGAACCCGGAAGCUAAGACUCGCAGCGCCGAUGGUACUGCAGGGGGGACCCUGUGGGAGAGUAGGACACCGCCGGAC